UACAGGGGGGGCAAGCGUUGUUCGGAAUUACUGGGCGUAAAGGGCUCGUAGGCGGCCGGCUAAGUCCGACGUGAAAUCCCCAGGCUUAACCUGGGAACUGCGUCGGAUACUGGCGGGCUUGAAUCCGGGAGAGGGAUGCGGAAUUCCAGGUGUAGCGGUGAAAUGCGCAGAUAUCAGGAGGAACACCGGUGGCGAAGGCGGUUCUCUGGGCAUGAUCUGACGCUGAGGAGCGAAAGUGUGGGGAGCGAACAGG
rnacentral:rRNA from 1 species